rnacentral:rRNA from 1 species
UACAGAGGUCCCGAGCGUUGUUCGGAUUCAUUGGGCGUAAAGGGUGCGUAGGCGGCGGGGCAAGUCUGAUGUGAAAUCCCGGGGCUCAACCCCGGAACUGCAUUGGACACUGCCUUGCUUGAGUACUGGAGAGGGAACUGGAAUUUACGGUGUAGCAGUGAAAUGCGUAGAGAUCGUAAGGAAGGCCAGUGGCGAAGGCGAGUUCCUGGACAGUUACUGACGCUGAGGCACGAAGGCCAGGGGAGCAAACGGG